CAUGGUGGCACGUGCCUAUAAUCCCAGCUACUCGGGAGGCUGAGGCAGGAGAAUCGCUUGAACCCAGAAUGGGGAGGUUGCAGUGACCUGAAAUCACACCACUGCACUCCAGCCUGGGUGACAGAGCAAGACAACAUCUCAAAAAAAAGAAAAGAAAAGAAAAGAAAAAGCUUACCAACCCCUGAACUAUGUUUUGGUAUUAUUAGUUUUUGUUUGCCGCUUGCUAGGGGCAGCUUGGGUGUGCACUGCCUCCAGUUGAGUGGUAGCAGGACCCAGGUCACCAGCCCUUCUCUGCAGGUCCUGGUCUGAUAGUAUAAAGAAAUGAGGCCAGGCGCAGUGGCUCACGCCUAUAAUCCCAGCACUUUGGGAGGCCGAAGAGGGCGGAUCACUUGAGGUCAGGAGUUCGAGACCAGCCUGGCCAAUGUGGUGAAACCCUGUCUCUACUAAAAAUACAAAAAUUAGCCUGGUGUGGUGGUGCGCUCCUGUAGUCCCAGCUACUCGGGAGGCUGAGGGAGGAGAAUCGCUUGAACCCAGGAGGCGGAGGUUGCAGUGAGCUGAGAUCACACCACUGCACUCCAGCCUGGGCGACAGAGUGAGACUCUGUCUCAAAAAAAAAAGAGAGAGAAAUGAUAGCUGGCCAGGCAUGGUGACUCAUGCCUGUAAUCCCAGCACUUUGGGAGGCCAAAGCGGGUGAACUGCUUGAGCUGGAGUUGGAAACCAGCCUGGGGAACAUAGCAAAACCCCAUCUCUACACAAAAAAAAAAAAAAAAAAAAAAAAAAAAAAAUUAGCCGGGCAUGAUAGUGUGCACCUGUAGUCCCAGCUCACACCUCACACUGGAGAGGCUGAGGCAGGAGGAUAGGUUGAGCCUGGGAGGCAAAGGUUGCAAUGAGCUGAGACUGUGCCACUGCACUCCAGCCUGGGCAUUAGAGCAAGACCCUAUCUCAAAAAAAUUAAAAACAAACAAACAAAAAAAAAAACGAAGAAAUGAGAGCUCACAUCUGGCCCCAUUUUCUGCAUGGAGAAACUGAGUCCUGUGGGGGCUGCUCAGGCUCAUGCGAACUUGAGGGUAAGUGAGAGCUUAGCUUUCUUCUACUCCCAGGCAGCCUCCUCUCUCCCAGUUAAGAAGACCUGGCCAUGAAUAAUUCAUGGCUGGCAUUUGCAGAACUCUCCUUCUUGUCAGAGCACUUUGAUUAUCAUUAAUUAGUCAGAACCUGGCUCCACUGUUGCCCAAUAAAACAAAAACAGAAGUGGCUUUGAUGCUCUAGGAGCUUCCAUCUCCACACCAAGACUUUGACCUGCAGAUUCCUCCUCUCUGCCCAUUGUUCCAUCACCUCUCAAAGCCUGAAAGCCUAUUGUUUUGGCUCAAAAGUCAGGCUUCCCACAGGAAAUGAGGCAGUCUCAGACUUGAAGCCCCGACCCUUAUAGCUGGUGUCAUCUCCUCUCUGCCAUCAUUGUCCUCGUCUGAAAGAUUACAGCAAUGAUGCCUAUCUCUGGGGUUGUUAUGAAGAUUAUUGUUGUGAGUUUAUGUUUAUAAAAGUGUCCUAAGCUAAGCGUGGUGACUCACACCUGUAAUCCUAACACUUUGGGAGGCCAAGGUGGGAGUAGCCCUUGAGCCCGGAGUUCAAGACCAGCCUGGGUAACAUAGUAAGACCUCAUCUUUACAAAAAAUCAAAAAAUUAGCUGGGUGUGGUGGCUCCUACCUGUGGUCCCAGCUACUGGGGAGGCUGAGGUGGGAGAUCAUUUGAGCCCAGGAGACUGAGGCUGCAGCGAGCUAUGAUUGAGCCAUUGCACUCCAGCCUGGGUACACAGUGAGACUCUGUCUCAAAAAAAAAAAAAAAAAAAAGAAGAGGUGUUCUGAAGAGAACUGCAUACACUGCUUAUGGGAAUACAAAAUGGUGUAGAUGCUUUGGAAAUCAUUCUGGCAGUUCUCCACAUGGUUAAGGAUACCGUACAACCCAGCAAUUCCACACCUAGGUAUCUACCCAAGAGAAAUGAAGCACGUGUCCACACAGAAACUUGUACACAAGUGUUCACAGCAACAUUAUUCAUAACAGCCAAAAAGUCGAAACAACCCAUAUGCCCCUCAACUAAUGAAUGGACAAAUAUUAAUAAAACAUCUAGAUCUAUACAAUGGAAUAUUGUUUGGCCAUAAAAAGUAAUGAAGCACUGAUCCAUGCUACGACAUGGAUGAACCUUGGAAACAUUAAGAAAAAGAAGCCAAGGCUGGGCGUGGUGGCUCCCGCCUGUAAUCCCAGCACUUUGGGAGGCCGAGGAGGGCGGAUCACGAGGUCAGGCGAUCGAGACCAUCCUGGCUAACACAGUGAAACCCUGUCUCUACUAAAAAUACAAAGUUAGCAGGGUGUGGUGGCAGGCGCCUGUAGUCCGGGCUACUCGGGAGGCUAAGGCAGGAGAAUGGCGUGAACCCAGGAGGCGGAGGUUGCAGUGAACCGAGAUCAGGCCACUGCACUCCAGCCUGGGUGACAGAGCAAGACUCCGUCUCAAAAAAAAAAAAAAAAAAGAAAAAGAAGCCAGCUGGGUGUGGUGGGUCAUGGCUGUAAUCUCAGCAGUUUAGGAGGCUGAGAUGGGAGGAUUGCUUGAACCCAGGAGUUUGAGACCAACCUGGGCAACACAGCAAGACCUCAUCUCAAAAAAAAAAAAAAAAAAAGAAGAAAGAAGAAAGAAAAAAAAAGAGAAGCCAAAUGCAAAAGGCCACAUAUUAUAUGAUUCUUACUUACAUGAAAUGUUCAGAAUAAGCAAAUCCAUAGAAAGAGAAUAUAAAUUAGUGGUUCCCUUGGGCUGAGGAGACAAUGGAAAGUGACUGUAAAUGGACACGAAGCUUUUUGGGGGGAUGAUGGAAAUUUAUUUAAAUUAGCUUUUAUGUUUUAAUUAAAAGUAUAGUUAAUAAAUGUGGAUCUGAUGCAGGAAUAAACACACAAAUUACUGGGAAAAAAUAGAAAUACUUAAACAUGUCCUAUUACAUAUGACCUCAGUAGGGUAUAUAAGAAACAUCACAAAGCAAUGGAAAACAUGGACAUUCAGUAAAUUGACUGGAGAAAAAACAUAUAUAUAUAUUCUCAUUUCUUUCCUCAACACUAAAAUAAUAUAAAAGUAUUAAAGAGUAAAAUGUACAUGGAAACAAAAGGGGAGGAAUAUAUGUAAUAUUUGAUUUGUUAAAUUGGUGGGUACCUUCUUUAUCCUUUAUAUAUUUUGAUUAUCCUAGCUUUUUAUAAUAAAUGUUGUUUUUUUACCUUAUUUUGUUUUGUACUUGGUAGAGACAAGGUCUUGCUAUGUUGUCCAGGCUGGUCUUGAACUCCUGGGAUCCUCCCGCCUUGGCCUACCAAAGUGCUGGGAUUAUAGGCAUGAGACACCACACCUGGCCUGAUGCUAAUUUUAAAAAAUAUGUGUGUAUACAUUUGCAUAGGAAAAAAUAAUGGAAGGAACCUAAAUUGAGGAACAUUUUACAAAAUAACAAGCCCAUAUCAAUGUCAAGGUCAAGAAAGACAAAGGAAGGCUGACAAGCUAUUUCAGUUUAAAGAAGGCAUAAGAGCUAUGACAAUUAAAUGCAACAGUGCAGGAUCCUGGAUUAGAUCCUGAACUGGGAAAAACAUAUAUACACUGGUAAUUGAUUAAUUUAAAUACAGGCUAUAGAUUUGAUAAUAGUAUUGUUGCAAUGUUAAAUAAAUGUCCUGAGUUUGGUGGGGCGUGGUGGCUCACACCUGUAAUCCCAGCACUUUGGGAGGCCGAGGCAGGCAGAUCACCUGAGGUCGGGAGUUCAAGACCAGCCUGACCAACAUGGUGAAACCCCGUCUCUACUAAAAAUACAAAAUUAGCUGGGCGUGUUGGCACAUGCCUGUAAUUCCAGCUACUUGGGAGGCUGAGGCAGGAGAAUUGCGUGAACCCAGGAGGCAGAGGUUGUGGUGAGCCAAGAUCAUGCCAUUGCACUCCAGCCUGGGCAACAAGAGCGAAACUCUAUCUCAAAAUAAUAAUAAUUUAAAAAGUCCCUUGCGGCCAGGCACGGUGGCUCAAGCCUGUAAUCCCAGCACUUUGGGAGGCCGAGGCGGGCGGAUCACGAGGUCAGGAAAUUGAGACCAUCCUGGCUAACACAGUGAAACCCUGUCUCUACUAAAAAUACAAAAAAUUAGCCAGGCAUGGUGGCAGGCGCUUGUAGUCCCAGCUACUUGGGAGGCUGAGGCAGGAGAAUGGCAUGAACCCAGGAGGCAGAGCUUGCAGUGAGCCGAGAUUGUGCCACUGCACUCCAGCCUGGGCAACAGAGUGAGACUCCGUCUCAAAAAAAAAAAAAAAAAAAAAAAAAGUCCCGAGUUUAAUAAUUAUACUGUGGUUAUAUAUGGGAAUGUCUUUGUUUUUAGGAACUACAUGCUGGAAUAUUUAGGGCAUGAUGUCUCUAAUUUAAUCUCAAAUGGUUCAGAAAAAUACAUAUACAUACACAUAUACACAGAUAGAUCCAUAUAUAGGUAAAUAUUUAUAUAUUGUUUUAGUCCAUUUUCAUACUGCUAUAAAGAACUGCCCAGGCUGGGCGCAGUGGCUCAUGCCUGUAAUCCCAGCACUUUGGGAGGCCGAGGCAGAUGGAUCACGAGGUCAAGAGUUCAAGACCAGCCUAGUCAAGAGGGUGAAACCCUGUCUCUACUAAAUAUACAAAAAUUAGCCGGGUGUGGUAAUCCCAGCUACUGGGGAGGCUGAGGCAGAGAAUUGCUUGAACCCGGGAGGCAGAGGUAGCAGUGAGCCGAGAUGGUACUAUUGCACUCCAGCCUGGGCAACAAGAGCGAACCUCAUCUCAAAAAAAAAACAAAAACAAACAAACAAAAACUCCCCGAGACUGGGUAAUUUAUAAAGGAAAGAGAUUUAAUUGACUUACAGUUCAGCAUGGCUGGGGACGCCUCAGGAAAUUUACCAUCAUGGCCGAAGGUGAAGGGGAAGCAAAGCACCUUCUUCACAAGGUGGCAGGAAGGAGAAGUGCCGAGUGAAUGCGAUGGGGAAAAGCCCCUUAUAAAACCAUCACAUCUCUUGAGAAUUCACUCACUAUCACGAGAACAGCAUGGGGGAAACCGCCCCCAUGAUUCAAUUACCUCCAUCUGGUCUCUCCCUUGAUAUGUGGGGAUUAUGGGAAUUAUGGGGAUUACAAAUCAAGAUGAGAUUUGGGUAGGGACAUGAAGCUUAACCAUAUCAUAUAGAGGAGAAAAUUAUGAAGCAAAUGGUCAACAACUGGUUAAUGUGGGUAGAGUUUCUGGAGUUUCUUGUACUAUUCUUGUGAUUUUGGUUUCCACUUAAAAUUAUAUCAAAAUUACAAAUUACCAAAAAAGGGAGGAAAGGAAGACAGAUACACAAAUUUUCACUCUGGGCCGGGCACGGAGGCUCAUACCUGUAAUCCCAACACUUUGGGAGGUCGAGGCAGGUGGAUCACUUGAGGUCAGGAGUUCGAGACCAGCCUGGCCAACAUGGUGAAACCCCCUCUCUACUAAAAAUACAAAAAUUAGGCAUGGUGGUGGGCACUUGUAGUCCCAGCUACUUGGGAGGCUGAGGCAGGAGAAUCGCUUGAACCCAGGAGGCGGAGGUUGCAGUGAGCCGAGAUUGUACCAGUGCACUCCAGAGCGACAGAGCAAGACUCCGUCUCAAAAAAAAAGAAAAAAAAGAAAAAAAAAAAGGCUGGGAGAAGUGGCUCAUUCCUGUAAUCCCAGCACUUUGGGAGGCUGAGGUGGGCAGAUCGUUUGAGGUCAGGAGUUCGAGACCAGCAUGGCCAACAUGGUGAAACACUGUCUCUAUUAAUAAUACAAAAAAAAAAAAAAAAAAGGGCCGGGCGCAGUGGCUUAUGCCUGUAAUCCCAGCACUUUGGGAGGCCGAGGCAGGAGGAUCACUUGAGUCCAGGAGUUCAAGACCAGCCCCGGCAACAUAGUGAGACCCCAUCUCUACAGAAAAAAAAAUUUUUUUUUGAGACAGAGUCUC
rnacentral:lncRNA from 1 species